AACGAACGCUGGCGGCAUGCCUAACACAUGCAAGUCGAACGUGAUCCGGGACUUCGGUUUCGGUGAAAGUGGCGGACGGGUGAGUAACGCGUGGGAACCUGCCCAGUGGUAGGGGAUAACCGCGGGAAACUGCGGCUAAUACCCUAUGUGCCCUGCGGGGCAAAGAUUCAUCGCCAUUGGAGGGGCCCGCGUCGGAUUAGGUAGUUGGUGGGGUAACGGCCUACCAAGCCUUCGAUCCGUAGCUGGUCNGAGAGGAUGAUCAGCCACACUGGGACUGAGACACGGCCCAGACUCCUACGGGAGGCAGCAGUGGGGAGUAUUGGACAAUGGGGGCAACCCUGAUCCAGCAAUGCCGCGUGAGUGAUGAAGGCCUUAGGGUUGUAAAGCUCUUUCGGCGGGGGAAGAUGAUGACGGUACCCGCAGAAGAAAGCCCCGGCUAACUUCGUGCCAGCCGCCGCGGUAAU
rnacentral:rRNA from 1 species